AGAGUGUAAAGGCAAAAGAGAGCUUGAUUGCAAGACAUACAGGUCGAGCAAGGAUGAAAAUCGGACUUAGUGAUCCGGUGGUUCUGCGUGGAAGGGCCAUCGCUCAACGGAUAAAAGCUACCCUGGGGAUAACAGGCUUAUCUCCCCCAAGAGUCCACAUCGACGGGGAGGUUUGGCACCUCGAUGUCGGCUCAUCACAUCCUGGGGCUGUAGUAGGUCCCAAGGGUUGGGCUGUUCGCCCAUUAAAGUGGUACGCGAGCUGGGUUCAGAACGUCGUGAGACAGUUCGGUCCCUAUCCGUCGCAGGCGUAGGAAAUUUGAGAAGACCUGUCCUUAGUACGAGAGGACCGGGAUGGACGUACCUCUGGUGUACCAGUUGUCCUGCCAAGGGCAUGGCUGGGUAGCUAUGUACGGAAUGGAUAAGCGCUGAAAGCAUCUAAGCGCGAAGCCAACUUCAAGAUAAGAUUUCCCACCGCAAGGGUAAGACCCCAGAAAGACUAUCUGGUUGAUAGGUCGAAGGUGUAAGUGCAGCAAUGUAUUUAGCUUAUCGAUACUAAUAGGUCGAGGACUUGACCAAU
rnacentral:rRNA from 1 species